CCUCUUUAGGACCUGGAAUGCAGACACUUGGAAAAUGACUUGGUGAACGGAAAAAAAGCUGAGAAUUGGAAGGGAACUAACAGGAAAAUUAGAAGCUACAGAGAAGCUGGAGAAAUGGAGCACAAUGCAGAGAAAAGAACAAAGCAGUCUAAGUUCUCUGCACAUACAGGAACUUCUGGGAGAAGCAAUGGACCUGGUCAGCAGUGCUAGUUCUAAGAAAAGCCCACAGGCUUCUUUUGAUCAGCCUCUUGAAGUGGUCACCACUAGGAACCCAAUCAUGAGCUGUACAAAGGCGGCUGACCCAGUUCAUCCUGGCUUUGCUGGUUUGCUGAUGAAAAACAAGAAUCUUUUAUCUGAGCUAAGAACUCUCCAAAGAAAGCUUUUCAGAGAAGAGACUUUGUUGCAAGAGACAAAGACUGAACUAACAAGGUACAAAGAACAACAGUCGUUCCAGAUCAUGUCCCUGAGAGAUGAUGUCAAGGACCUACAGGAACUUAUUACAUCCCUAACCAGAAUUAAGUCUUUGAAAAACUCCUGUAUUCAGAGUCUUGAAAGAGGCAACUGGGAUCUAACUAAACGAGUUACAGAACUAGAAAAUUUUCUAAGAGAAAAAGGAGAGCAAAAAACAGACUUUUUGAUGAACAAGUUGUCACAUACGAGCAGAUUCCCUCCUGUGAAUAUAAAAGGAUAA
rnacentral:lncRNA from 1 species